rnacentral:rRNA from 1 species
AGCUGAUGCGCCAUGCCGCGUGUGUGAGAAGUCUUCGGRUUGUAAGCACUUUCAGUAGGGAGGAANGGUUWAGUUUUAAUACAGCUUAGCUGUGACGUUACUUACAGAAGAAGCACCGGCUAACUCCGUGCCAGCAGCCGCGGUAAU